rnacentral:rRNA from 1 species
UACAGAGGUCCCAAGCGUUGUUCGGAUUCACUGGGCGUAAAGGGUGCGUAGGCGGUCGGGUAAGUCUGACGUGAAAUCUCCGGGCCUAACCCGGAAACUGCGUUGGGUACUGCCUGGCUAGAGGAAUGGAGGGGAGACUGGAAUACUUGGUGUAGCAGUGAAAUGCGUAGAUAUCAAGUGGAACACCAGUGGCGAAGGCGAGUCUCUGGACAUUUCCUGACGCUGAGGCACGAAAGCCAGGGGAGCGAACAGG